rnacentral:misc_RNA from 1 species
AAUGCGAUAAGUAAUGUGCCUUGCAGAAUUCAGUGAAUCAUCGAAUCUUUGAACGCACCUUGCGCUCCUUGGUAUUCCUUGGAGCAUGCCUGUUUGAGUAUCAUGAAAUCUUCAAAGUAAAUCUUUUGUUAACUCAAUUGGUUUCUACUUUGGUAUUGGAGGUCUUUGCAGCUUCACACCUGCUCCUCUUUGUUCAUUAGCUGGAUCUCAGUGUUAUGCUUGGUUCCACUCGGCGUGAUAAGUUAUCUAUCGCUGAGGACACUGUAAAAGGUGGCCAAGGUAAAUGCAGAUGAACCGCUUCUAAUAGUCCAUUGACUUGGACAAUACUUUUAUGAUCUGAUCUCAAAUCAGGUAGGACUACCCGCUGAACUUAAGC